UUAUAAGUAUGUAUCUGAAUACCAUCCAUAACUCAGGAAUACAAUACGCCAUACACACAAAUAAAUGCCCUUACCGGGACCCGGACCCAGACCAUUCAGCUUCGUAGGCAGGUCACGUCUCUACUGACUAGGCUAGGAUGACACGAUAAGGAGUCUUUCUAUCGAACAGUGUUAACAAUGGCGUUUUCUGCCCUCCGGGCGGCAAGCGUCAACUUUGCUCCCGCUGCGCUAGAUGAAGUUGCCGCUUUCUGCCUCCGUCGAACAGAAAAAUAGUAUGCGCACCACGGGAGGAAUCUUAGGACAUUCCAUUCCGCGUGCUUGGUACAAUUUUACACGCGGCACGCAAUGUCCUACUUUUCUUCCCUUGGGCCACAAAUAACUAUUGUUCCAUCGAGUCACUACUACUAUAGGCGAUGCCCGCAUAUAUCCUACGUCCCGUCCGUUACUUUUAAGGAAGGUUGUCCUUUUAUUCUGUGACAACGCAGUUUCACUUAAAGUAGGUCAUAUCUUACACAGUUCAUAUAUGUAAAGUGAUAAUUUAAUGAUAGCAAAAACCUAUGUGCCUACGUAAUUAGAUAUGAGAUGCUUUAUUACGUAAACUUCCACAGAUAAUAAGACUGAAACAAUAGACUUAAUUGGUAUUGCUAUACAAGGAAAUAUCUCUCAGUCAAUAUAACAGAUGGUCCAUCAGGUAAUACGGGUCAACUUGACGUCAGUUCUAUUGUCCUUAGGUCUAUGAAAACAACUUAUAAAUAGGUAGGGCUGUGAUACAAGCGUGUGUCAUUCAAUUCAGGUCUGUGAACAACAUGUCAACUAUAAAAGUGCUCGUGAUUCUCGCAGUUGCAAUGCUAGCCUCGGCAGCGCCGUCUCCGGGUAUCCAUAUACAUGCAUCAGCGUAUGUUCCUCCGCCGGUGGUUCACCACGUCCCCGUGUACCACGAGACUUACGCCUACCACGAACCGAUUGUCGCGCCAGUGGUACACCCUGUGCCAGUAGCGUACCACCAUUCUUAUGUACAACCUGUUGCGUAUAAAGUGAAAACCCAUUAUUCUUUAUUCGGUAGAUAAAAUUUGAUAGUAUAAUAAAUACAUUGUUACAUUA